AGCAAGUGCUUGGAGCUACAAGGAGACCCCCUGUCCACUAUGGGCAACCAGGUGCUCUGGUGGGUGGCCCUUUGUCUCCUGGGAGCAGGCACCUUGGACCGUGGAAUCACUCAGAGCCCAAAAUACGUGUCCAGAGAGGAAGGACGAGAUGUGACCCUGGAGGGUGAACAAAAUUUUAAUUGCGACAACAUGUUCUGGUACCAACAGGACCCAGGACAAGGGCUGAGACUCAUCUACUACUCACAAAUUGUAAAUGAUCUUCAGAAAGGAGACAUAUCUGAAGGCUACAGCUCCUCUCCGGAGAAGAAGGCAUUCUUUCUUCUCACUGUGACAUCGACCCAAAAGAACCAGACAGCCCUGUAUCUCUGUGCCAGUAGCAGAGACACAGUGAAGCACAGCCACCUCCUCUCCAUGCAUAAAUGUGUCCCAAGCCUUCCUUCCCCACCAGGUGGCAGGGCUUUUCUGGAUUCAGUGGCCUGAUCUGCCUGCUUUCUUCUGCCUCAACCAGGCCUCCAAAGCAGCUUCUGCCAUCAACGCAUUUUGUGGAAUGGCACAGCACUUCAGCGACCCACUAAGUUUGUUUUAAACAUGACAUAUAUGCAUAUGUCUACAUCUAUAUCUAUAUAUAUAACUAUAUCAGAGAGAUAGAGAGAGAGGAAGA